rnacentral:rRNA from 1 species
GCCAGACUCCUACGGGAGGCAGCAGUAAGGGAUAUUGGUCAAUGGGGGAAACCCUGAACCAGCAACGCCGCGUGAGGGAAGACGGUUUUCGGAUUGUAAACCUCUGUCCUCUGUGAAGAUGAUGACGGUAGCAGAGGAGGAAGCUCCGGCUAACUACGUGCCAGCAGCCGCGGUAAUACGUAGGGAGCGAGCGUUGUCCGGAUUUACUGGGUGUAAAGGGUGCGUAGGCGGGCUGUUAAGUCAGCGGUCAAAUGUCGGGGCUCACCCCCGGCCUGCCGUUGAAACUGGCGGCCUCGAGUGGGCGAGAAGUAUGCGGAAUGCGUGGCGUAGCGGUGAAAUGCAUAGAUAUCACGCAGAACUCCGAUUGCGAAGGCAGCAUACCGGCGCCCUACUGACGCUGAGGCACGAAAGCGUGGGUAUCGAACAGGAUUAGAUACCCGUGUA